GAGUUUGAUCCUGGCUCAAGCGAACGUUAGCGGCGGGCUUAACACAUGCAAGUCGAACGCGAAAGUCCCUUCGGGGGCCGGUAGAGUGGCGAACGGGUGAGUAACACGUAGGUAAUCUGCCCCUGGGUGGGGGACAACCAGCCGAAAGGCUGGCUAAUACCGCAUAAGACCACGUCUCCUUCGGGCGACGGGGGAAAAGGUGGCCUCGGCUACCGCCUAGGGAUGAACCUGCGGGCCAUCAGCUUGUUGGUGGGGUAACGGCCUACCAAGGCAAAGACGGCUAGCUGGUCUGAGAGGAUGAUCAGCCACACUGGCACUGAAACACGGGCCAGACUCCCACGGGAGGCAGCAGUGGGGAAUAUUGGACAAUGGGCGAAAGCCUGAUCCAGCCACGCCGCGUGAGUGAUGAAGGCCUUCGGGUUGUAAAGCUCUGUGGGGAGGGGCGAAAAAGGUAGGCAAGAUAACGGCCUGCCCUUGACGGUACCUCCUUAGCAAGCACCGGCUAACUCUGUGCCAGCAGCCGCGGUAAUACAGAGGGUGCAAACGUUGCUCGGAAUCACUGGGCGUAAAGCGCGUGUAGGCUGACAGCCAAGUCAGUGUGAAAUCCCUGGGCUCAACCUAGGAACUGCAUCUGAAACUGGUUG
rnacentral:rRNA from 1 species